UACGAAGGGGGCUAGCGUUGUUCGGAAUUACUGGGCGUAAAGCGUGCGCAGGCGGCUUCUCAAGUCAGGGGUGAAAGCCCAGAGCUCAACUCUGGAAUUGCCUUUGAGACUGAGUGGCUUGAGUACGAGAGAGGUGAGUGGAAUUCCCAGUGUAGAGGUGAAAUUCGUAGAUAUUGGGAAGAACACCAGUGGCGAAGGCGGCUCACUGGACCGGUAUUGACGCUGAGGUGCGAAAGCGUGGGGAGCAAACAGG
rnacentral:rRNA from 1 species